rnacentral:sRNA from 1 species
UCACUUCCGAGUUUCAGGCCUUCAAGGCCGAU